rnacentral:rRNA from 1 species
AAAGCCAGGGGUGCCCGCAAGGGAGCCUUUACACAGGUGCUGCAUGGCUGUCGUCAGCUCGUGUCGUGAGAUGUCGGGUUAAGUCCCUUAACGAGCGAAACCCUUGUCCUUAGUUGCCAGCGGGUCAUGCCGGGGACUCUAAGGAGACUGCCGGUGUUAAACCGGAGGAAGGCGGGGAUGACGUCAAGUCCUCAUGGCCUUUAUGAUCAGGGCUG